GACGUAGGGCGCGAGCGUUGUCCGGAUUUAUUGGGCGUAAAGAGCUCGUAGGCGGCUUGUCGCGUCGACUGUGAAAACCCGCAGCUCAACUGUGGGCUUGCAGCCGAUACGGGCAGGCUAGAGUUCGGUAGGGGAGACUGGAAUUCCUGGUGUAGCGGUGAAAUGCGCAGAUAUCAGGAGGAACACCGGUGGCGAAGGCGGGUCUCUAGGCCGACACUGACGCUGAGGAGCGAAAGCGUGGGGAGCGAACAGG
rnacentral:rRNA from 1 species